rnacentral:rRNA from 1 species
AGUGAACGCUGGCGGUAGGCCUAACACAUGCAAGUCGAACGGAAGCACAGUAAGAGUUCGUCCCUAAGGGUGGCGAGUGGCGGGUGGGUGAGACAUACAUAGCAUUCUUAUAAUUCGUGGUGGAUUACGGAGGGAAGCUUACGCUAAUACAUCAUACUUCCAACCGGUGAGAGCAGAGGAUCUUCGGACCUUGUGCGAUUCUAUGAGCCGAUGUCGGAUUAGCUAGUUGGCGGGGUAAAGGCUCACCAAGCCGACGAUCCGUAGCUGGUCUGAGAGGAUGAUCAGCCACACUGGAACUGAGACACGGUCCAGACUCCUACGGGAGGCAGCAGUGGGGAAUAUUCGACAAUGGGCGCAAGCCUGAUCCAGCCAUGCCGCGUGAGUGAUGAAGGCCUUCGGAUUGUAAAGCCCUUUUGUUGGGGAAGAAAAGAAGCAGGUUUAUACGCGGCUGUUCUGACGGUACCCAAAGAAAAAGCACCGGCUAACUUCGUG